rnacentral:rRNA from 1 species
GACGAACGCUGGCGGCGUACUUAACACAUGCAAGUCGAACGGAAAGGCCCUGCUUGCAGGGUACUCGAGUGGCGAACGGGUGAGUAACACGUGGGUGAUCUGCCCUGCACUUCGGGAUAAGCCUGGGAAACUGGGUCUAAUACCGGAUAGGAGCCAUUUUUAGUGUGAUGGUUGGAAAGUUUUUUCGGUGUAGGAUGAGCUCGCGGCCUAUCAGCUUGUUGGUGGGGUAAUGGCCUACCAAGGCGGCGACGGGUAGCCGGCCUGAGAGGGUGGACGGCCACAUUGGGACUGAGAUACGGCCCAGACUCCUACGGGAGGCAGCAGUGGGGAAUAUUGCACAAUGGGCGCAAGCCUGAUGCAGCGACGCCGCGUGGGGGAUGACGGCCUUCGGGUUGUAAACUCCUUUCGCUAGGGACGAAGCUUUUUGUGACGGUACCUAGAGAAGAAGCACCGGCUAACUACGUG